UUUAUAACUUUUCCCGAAACCCAGGCGGAACGACUAAGGGUGCAGCAAGGAUUCCGCGAUAUUGCGCAAUUCCCAGGUGUAAUUGGUGCUCUCGAUGGUUCGCACGUUCCCAUCGCAAACCCAGGAGGAAUUAAUGCCCAGCGUUUCAUGAAUCGAAAGGGUUACUAUAGCCUGAACUGCCAACUUGUUUGUGACCAUGAGUUAUGCUUCACCAAUGUCGUCUCCAGAUGGUACGGCUCUGCGCACAAUUCAAGAAUCUUUGAGGAAUCACGACUUUGCCAAAGAUUCAGAGCAGGAGAGCUCCAGGGUAUUUUGCUGGGUGACCCAGCAUACACGUGCACCAGAUAUAUGUUGACUCCGGUUCGUGAACCAAGAAACGUUGCAGAGCGGAAUUACAAUCAAGCCCAAAGGAGGACAAGAGGGGUCAUCGAGAGAGCGUUUGGGGUUUGGAAAAGACGAUUCCACGCUGUUGGUAGGGGAAAUACCCUUCGAUGUUCAUUGCAGCACAAUAUGGCCAUAAUCAUCGCUACAGCAUGUCUCCACAACUUGGCCAUUCGCAGAAACGAUCCACUUCCAGAUGAUUAUCAUGGUGAUGCCAAUAUGCGCCGAGAGCCAGCAGAGGAAGCGCAUCAUCAUGAAGCUAACCUACGAGGCAACUUAUUUCGCCAAAGAUUCAUAAGACAACACUUCCAGUAGGCAAGUGCUUGGUCGGUCUUCUUUAAGACAGGAGAUUCAUCGGACAUGGUAGCCCUCUUCUCAAAGCUGGAAAGAAGAAUGC